AACUUUGAAUGGCCAUGGGGUGUAGAUUGACCUGAGCAAAUUUGAAGCCGAUGGGACAAAAGAUUUAGGAGGAGUUAGCGAAAUUCCAAUGUGUGCGGAUCGGCAAAAAAUGCGAAAUAACCCUUUAACCGUACAUUUGACAGAUACGCCCGCACUGACUUUUUUGUAGAUCUUAUUGAGAUACAUGUGUGUGUCAAAUUUUGUGUCAUUUUGACAAAGCGUAAAGGCGUGACAGUCAACAAUGUGUAUUUUCGCCUUAGGAGACAAGAAAAAAUGGACUUUUUUCUCCUGCCAUGGGGGGCGCUCUUUUGGCGAGUAAAAAUUCCUUCACAAAUGUGUUGAUGGCUGGACAUUGCAUCAUCCUAGAGAACUUGGAGGCCAGUGAGGACAAAAAUAAAAAGUUAUAAGACUUUUAAGACUGUGGAUUUUUGGGUUAUCUUUGGCGCCCCCUAGAACGUAAGCCGUGGGGUGCAGCGUCAUGAUUUGUACAACUUUUAAUGGCCAUGGGGUGUAGAUUGGCCUCAGCAAAUGUGGUGCCUUUGGAACGAAAGCCUUCGGAGGAGUUAGCGAAAUUCCAAUGUGUGCGGAUCGGCAAAAAAUGCGAAAUAGCCCUUUCACCGUACAUUUGACAGAUACGCCCGCACUGACUUUUUUGUAGAUCUUAUUGAGAUACAUGUGUGUGUCAAUUUUUGUGUCAAUAUGACAAAGCGUAAAGGCGUGACAGUCAAUAGUGUGAAUUUUCGCCUUAGGAGACAAGAAAAAAUGGACUUUUUUCUCCUGCCAUGGGGGCGCUCUUUUGGGGAGUAAAAAUUCCUUCACAAAUGUGUUGAUGGCUGGACAUUGCAUCAUCCUAGAAAACUUGGAGGCCAGUGAGGACAAAAAUAAAAAGUUAUACGACUUUUAAGAAUGUGGAUUUCUGGGUUAUCUUUGGCGCCCCCUAGAACGUAAACCGUGGGAUGCAGCGUCAUGAUUUGUACAACUUUUAAUGGCCAUGGGGUGUAGAUUGGCCUGAGCAAAUUUGGUGCCGGUGGAACGAAAGCCUUCGGAGGAGUUAGCGAAAUUCCAAUGUGUGCGGAUCGGCAAAAAAUGCAAAAUAGCCCUUUAACCGUACAUUUGACAGAUACGCCCGCACUGACUUUUUUUUAGAUCUUAUUGAGAUACACGU